rnacentral:SRP_RNA from 1 species
ACUGGGGACAGUGGCACGUGCCUGUAGUCCCAGCUACUCCAGAGGCUGAGGUUGGAGGAUCUCUUGAGCCCAGGAGUUCUGGGCUGUAGUGCGCUAUGCCAAUCAGGUGUCCACACUAAGUUCGGCAUCAGUAUGGUGACAUCCAAGGAGCCGGGGCAACCUCCAGGUUGCCUAAGGACUGGUGAACCGGCCCAGGUCGGAAACGGAGCAGGUCAAAACUCCCGUGCUGAUCAGUAGUGGGAUCAGGCCUGUGAAUAGCCACUGCACUCCAGCCUGGGCAACAUAGCAAGACCCCAUCUCU